rnacentral:snoRNA from 1 species
CCAGCUGGGCUGCCACAGGAAGUCCUUUUCCUAGCUUCUGUCCUGGUUGUGUUAGGGGAUCACAGGGCUCUGCAUGAACUUGCAGUCCUUGCCACACAUUGAAGGUUAAGCUGGGCCUUGUGUUUGUGUCUGCACAUCCCAAAGCUUUCAGAAUCCUCAAACAGUGAAUGAGAUGACACACCAUGCAGGAAACAGUC